GUGAUCAUGGGUGAAGUGGGUUAUGCUCUAAUCCGUGAGAUAAUAUGAAAUUGAUCAUGUAUAAGGGUUAGAAACAUCAUAUAGAACAUGGGUUAUGUAAGGUUUGUGUUAAUUUGAAGUUUAGAUGUGAAACCCGUUGUUAUGAUGAUGACAUGGAUAAAUCAUCUAUGUCUAAAUUCUUGCUUAAAAUUGAUGUAUUUUGAUUUGUAAGAUGGAUUCUUAUGAGGGGAAUUGAAAGAAAUGUGAUACUAGUAUGUUUGAUGUUUAUGCAUGUAUGAUUCAUGUUGAUUAGAAUGAAGAAAUUGAUGAAUUAUGUAU
rnacentral:lncRNA from 1 species